rnacentral:rRNA from 1 species
GACGAACGCUGGCGGCGUGCUUAACACAUGCAAGUCGAACGGAAAGGCCCUGCUUUUGUGGGGUGCUCGAGUGGCGAACGGGUGAGUAACACGUGAGUAACCUGCCCUUGACUUUGGGAUAACUUCAGGAAACUGGGGCUAAUCCCGUAUAGGAGCUCCUGUUGCAUGGUGGGGGUUGGAACGUUUCGGCGGUUGGGGUUGGACUCGCGGCUUAGCAGCUUGUUGGUGGGGUAGUGGCCUACCAAGGCGUUGACGGGUAGCUGGCCGGAGAGGGGGACCGGCGACACGGGAAGGGAGACAAGGUGCAGACGAAUACGGGAGGCAGAAGGGGGGAAUAGGGGAGAAUGGGCGAAAGCCUGAUGCAGCCAUACAGAGUGGGGGAAGAAGGCCGUCGGGUUGUAAAGAGCGUUGGUGGGGAAAGAAAAGCAGCAGGUUAAUACCCCGCUGUUCUGACGGUACCCAAAGAAUAAGCACGGGCUAACUUCGUG